UACGUAGGGGGCAAGCGUUGUCCGGAAUUAUUGGGCGUAAAGAGCUCGUAGGCGGUUUGUCGCGUCUGCUGUGAAAACUCGGGGCUUAACUCCGGGCCUGCAGUGGGUACGGGCAGACUAGAGUGCGGUAGGGGAGACUGGAAUUCCUGGUGUAGCGGUGAAAUGCGCAGAUAUCGAGAGGAACACCUGCGGCGAAGGCGGGUUGCUGGGCUGACACUGACGCUGAGGCGCGAAAGCUAGGGGAGCGAACGGG
rnacentral:rRNA from 1 species